UCUUUUUUUUUUAUUGGGUGAAUUUAUCAGGAGAAGAAAUUACAAAUGCUUGAAUAACGAAGAUCGUGGCUGAUUUGAGUUUGGAUCCGUGUUUUGGCUUCGUCUAAGCUUGGAUUGAUUUUUGACCGGCCAGAAUGGCAUUGAGUAAUUGGGAAGCAGAUAAGAUGCUUGAUGUGUACAUUUAUGAUUAUUUGAUAAAGAAAAAACUGCAUGCUACUGCCAAGUCCUUCAUGACUGAAGGGAAAGUUGCCCCAGAUCCAGUAGGUAAUAAUAAUACAAUGUUAAACUAAG